rnacentral:lncRNA from 1 species
GUAAAGCCACUAGGUUCAUAAAUUUCGAGAGCAGAAGAUGGAUCUCUUUUAGACUUCCCGGAAAUUGAAGCGCCACUAGGUUCAUAAAUUUUGAGAGCAGAAGAUGGAUCUCUUUGAGACUUCUUGGAAAUUGAAGAGCCACUAGGUUCAUUAAUUUCGAGAGCAGAAGAUGGAUCUCUUUGAGACUUCCCGGAAAUUGAAGAGCCACUAGGUUCAUCCAUUUUGAGACCAAAAGAUGGAUCUCUUUGAGACUUCUCGGAAAAUGAAGAGCCACUAGGUUCAUAAAUUUCGAGAGCAGAAGACGGAUCUCUUUGAGACUUCGCGGAAAUUGAAGAGCCACUAGGUUCAUCAAUUUCGAGAGCAGAAGAUGGAUCUCUCUGAGACUUCCCAGAAAUUGAAGAGCCACUAGGUUCAUCAAUUUCAAGAGCAGAAGAUGAAUCUCUUUGAAACUUCCUGGAAAUUGAAGAGCCACUAGGUUCAUAAAUUUCGAGAGCAGAAGAUGAAUCUCUUUGAGACUUCCCGGAAAUUGAAGAGCCACUAGGUUCAUAAAUUUCGAAAGCAGAAUAUGGAUCUCUUGUAACCACUUUCGCCACACUGAACAAAACGCAAGUAGUUCAAAGAUCAGUUCUUAAAAUAAAUAAAGCCUAUU